rnacentral:rRNA from 1 species
UACAGAGGGGGCAAGCGUUGUUCGGAAUUACUGGGCGUAAAGGGCUCGUAGGUGGCCAACUAAGUCGGACGUGAAAUCCCUCAGCUUAACUGGGGAACUGCGUCCGAUACUGGAUGGCUCGAGUUUGGGAGAGGGAUGCGGAAUUCCAGGUGUAGCGGUGAAAUGCGUAGAUAUCGGAAGGAACAUCAGUGGCGAAAGCGGCUUCCUGGACCAGUACCGACGUCAGGCACGAAAGCGUGGGGAGCAAACAGG